rnacentral:rRNA from 1 species
CACGGGGGGAGCAAGCGUUGUUCGGAAUCACUGGGCGUAAAGGGCGUGUAGGCGGUCAAGUAAGUGGAAUGUGAAACGCCUCGGCUUACCCGAGGACCUGCAUCCCAAACUGCUUGGCUUGAGUAUGGGAGAGGAUGAGGGAAUUCCUGGUGUAGCGGUGAAAUGCGUAGAUAUCAAGUGGAACACCAGUGGCGAAGGCGAGUCUCUGGACAUUUCCUGACGCUGAGGCACGAAAGCCAGGGGAGCAAACGGG